ensembl:lncRNA novel transcript
AAGGUCUAGAUGUUUCAUUAAACAUUUAUCACUUUUUUGGAGGCAAAGAAACUUUAUUUUCCUCUCUUGGGGAAUUACCCAGAAGCCAUAAAAUGCUGUUUUAUAACUGAAUAUCCCAGUUUACAUCUCAUGGAACGAAGCAAAAUAAAUACAAACUUUAAAAAUAUGGUCACAGCCCAUAUAUUUUAAAAAACAUUGUCACCACGGACCAACACAGCUCAAAUGUUUCUUUCAUGUUUAACCCUAUGGGGUGGGUAGAUUUCCCCCCAAUAUCAGUCAUGUUUCCCUAUGAACUGUCUGAUUUCUGCUGUAGUAUUAAUAAAAAGGAGUGGUAAUGGAAUCUUAUGUCUUAUUUACAAAGUAAAAUGUUACCAAAAUCUGAGAAUAAUUCCUAGGGAUGAAUUUCUUUUCUCCUUUCCCCACUGGGCCCUUCAAAUUUUUCUUCAGUAGCUUUACUUUUGCUUUUCUUUAAGUUUUACUUUCCCUUGGAGUUUAUAUGAAGGAAAUGGAAUGAGGUCUGGGAUUUGCUUCAGAACCGCCCAGUGGGGCGAGCUAGUAGGGGAUGCAGGUAAGGGUCUAGGUGAGACCGGCUUGGGUGUGAGCUAACUGUUAUUGAAGCUACGUGUUGGGCACAGGGAGGUUUAUUAGAUUACUCUGUUUUGCCAUAUGUUUGAAAAUUUCCAUUAAAAUGUCUUCCUCAA